GUUCUACCAUCAGCACUUUCUACAGAGCCUGAAAACAAAAUGUUUCAAUAUGAUUGGAAUACACAGUGUUCAGAAAAUGUCAUAAAAUGGGAAAUAAAACCCCAGCAUUUUAUUUAAUAGAAUUAUUCAAAGGCUUCUUUAUAAAUUUUGUUUACACAGAAAUUCAUUUAGGUCAAGUUGAGUAAAUCAGCAAAUUAGAUACGCUGGUCCCUGACUUAAUCCCUCCGUGUUUUAGAAUUCUAAACUUUCUGCCCAAUUGGCUGGGUCUGCCUGUGGAUUUCAAAUAUCUCACCAUGAAGAACAGCCAGAAGAAAACUGUAAAUUUGAUCCUCCAAGAGAGGGAAAGAGUGGAAGGUUUGCACGACUGUGGAUCCAACAAAGCUUCUGGAACGAAAUGUGGCCUUAUGAAUAACUUUGAGAUUGUCUUCCCAAACUCUCCCCCACACACACUUUCUUUCUGCUUCAAGGAGAGGACAGCUGGAGCCAGACAAACUCAGAGACAUUACAUCAGGGAUAAAGAAUUAUUAAAGAAAUGGAGGAGGAGAGAAAAGUCGAGAGGAAACCUCAAUAUAGCAUCUUUAAGUGUUUUGUCUGCUUAAAAAAAGCAAAGCACCGGAACAUAGAACCAGUAUUAUUCCCUGGCCUGGAUGUACCACAGUUUGUUUAACUGUUUGCUCACUGAAGAACAUAGAAAUGCAUACGGUUUACACCACAAUUGACAUUUUUCAAUGGAGUAGAGGUCAUUUUGGGUCCCACACACCAGCUCUAUGUGCUCCAUGCCUGGAACGCCAACCCAUGGUCCAAGGACACAUCUUGUUUGCUCCCUGGAUACCAGAGUCAUCUUUCAGCAUGCUAUACUAUGAAGUGAUGCUUCAAACAGGUCUCUGGACUACCAUCACCUGCCAUCACCUCCACAUUGUAGCAUUAACCAGCAGAGGACAACUGUGCCAUCUUCUAUUCCAGAGACCAGGUGACAAGAUGCAAAGGCAUGAGGGAGCUGGCACUAAAAAGGGAAGGAGUACGACCCACUCAUGAGAAACUCUGAUGGAAUCCAAAAGUCAGAACUUCAAGACACACAAGCUCUUGCUAAUGCAAACACAAGAGCAUGGAGAGAGUCUCUGGUGGUUCACCUCUGUUCUCACGGCUUGUCUCUGAUUUCACCGGAACAGACCCUGGCUGUCCUAUAGCAGAGGACAAGAGCAGGGAAGCCUGCACACCAGCAGAGUGUGUUUUCAGAAUUACAGUCAACAUGUCCUUUUGAAAAUGUACACACAGAAUGGGUGACAGUGUAUGGCUACUCCCAUCACAGUGUCACAGCAAGGCCCUGGGAUGAGGGGCUGGCUGUCUGCAGUGAGCAUGGCCCAGGAGGAAGGUCUGAAGGGACCACUGACUUGAUGGAGCCAUCCACCCUGAGAUUUUGCCAUCUGCCUGCAAAGACACAGCUCUCUUCUCUUCCUUGGCAGAGGAAAGUGUCACCUGCCAGUGGCUGUGGAGGGUUCCAGACUCGACCUGCCUUGUGAGGCCUCCAGGCUUCCUGGUUUCCUCCCAGGCAAAGUGACCGAUGGCUUCUCAAGAACUCAGGGCUAGGACUCGAUGCCCAGCACCUGAUCUGUGCCCCCAAGGACCAAGCUUCGUGCUCCCACCUGCCCCCGCCCCCAACCCUCCCGAGCGGAAUGUGGAUCCCAGUGGGAGAAAGCCCUUGGGAAGUCUUCUCUCCAGGCUGUGAGCAGGACCACUGAGUGGACUGAUAACCAGGCUAUUGUACCAGGGCCAUGCCAGGCAGCGGAGCCCACCUUGCUGCCACGGCCCACGGUAGAAAGAGCACUUCAGCAGCAGGACCAGGAGGGCUCCAGGUUACCAGUUCUUCAGCCGAGUAGUUCAACACCCACAGCGUCAAACUGAGGAGGACUCAGCCUCCUCCCAUCAAAUGCUUUCCACAGAUUGCCUUGGGUGCCAGGAUGUGGAUAUCUGUGAAAUACAAAUGGAGCUGUUGUAAUAUAAAAGACAAGCCCCAGGGGCAGGGGGAGAGCUUGUCUGCUCCGACCUAAACAAGUGUCCUAGCUAGCGAGUAGUACUGCAGAUAAAAAGAACCUGGCUAGUCCCUGCAGAGCCCCAUAGGGCUGCCAGGGUGAAGGCAAAGAAGCUCAGCGCAAUGAGGCUUCUCUGCAGAGCGGGAGCUCCCGGAGGUCAGAACACAGGAGAAGCCCUCUGCCCCCCUCUUUCCUCAGAGGCUACAGGGACACAGCAUCAUUGGAGGGACACACAGCCCAGUAAGAGAGACACAGUCCAGUCGGAACGACACGGCCUGAGUCGAAGGGUACAGUCCAGUUGGAGGGACGCCCUGUGCGGCCUACAGAGUAGACGCCCGGAAGAGCGCAGUGGGCAGUCCAGAGCGUGGAGACAUGCUUGUUACCCUGGUCAGCGCACCCUCAGUUGGCUCAGUCGUCCUCACCUGCUCUGACACCCCUGUCUGGAGCCACUCCACUGCAUGAGGGCGGGUCCUGGACCGGCAGCAGGUGUGGCUCCAGUCUGAGGCUCGUCUUUUUGUCCCAUCAGAUAAUGGAAAAUUCUCUUUGGAUCAGUGGAUAGCGCUCAGGUGAAUGCAUCCCUAGCACAGUCCACUUGGCACCUGCCUGAACAGGGUGCAAUUGGAAAGCCACCAUCCCCCAGUGCACAGCCAUGGCCGCAUCCAGCCUGAAUUUCUUUCUGAAGGCCUGAAGAGCUCUCAUGGACCCAUCAAGUGUCCUCAGAAGCUGCCUGAGGCUAUGGAGGGACCACAGAAAGGGGGAGCCACCUUUUGCAUCAGUGACCCCCAGGUGAGGCCUGGGAGGCCUGAGGCAGGUGUCUGCAGCAGAGGCCCUGGACACUGCAAGCUCCUUAGGGCCACGGGAAGACCCCCAUUGAAGCCACAGGAGGUGUGGGUACCCUGGAGGUACCAGGAGGGCAGGCAGGGCUUGGCAUAGAGCUGCAGACCUGGGCCCCCAGGGGCACUGGGUGGAGUCCCGAAGAAGAAGGAGG
rnacentral:lncRNA from 10 species